rnacentral:rRNA from 1 species
GACGAAGGUGGCUAGCGUUGCUCGGAUUUACUGGGCAUAAAGCGCGCGUAGGUGGUUGUGUAAGCGGGGGAUGAAAGCCCACGGCUCACCCGUGGAACUGUCUCCCGGACUGCAUAGCUUGAGGAAGGAAGGGGAGAAUGGAAUUCCCGGUGUAGCGGUGAAAUGCGUAGAUAUCGGGAGGAACGCCGGUGGCGAAAGCGAUUCUCUGGUCCUUUCCUGACACUGAUGCGCGAAAGCUAGGGGAGCAAACAGG